UUUCAAAUAAAAGGAUGCUCUCAUGUGGUCUGAUACUUUUGGGUAGACCUUUGCGGUGUCAAGAGUUGGACUUGAUGAUCCUUAAGGGUCCCUUCCAACUCAGGAUAUUCUAUGAUUCUAUGAUUCUAUGAUUUCCACCAUGAAAUUCACAAAAUUU